ensembl:lncRNA
GGAGCGCAGCGGACACCCCGAAAGCAGCGGCAGCGGCGGGAAGGGGCUCCAAGGAGCAAAGAAUGGCGGCGAGGCGCUGCCGGGAGCAGCAGAAGGCAGCGAGGAGAAGCCGUGAAGCUGCAGAGCGGCGGAGUUGUCUUUUUUCCUUCCCAGGCUGGAAUCUUCCUUCCGCCUUGCUGUGCUGUGGGGAGCAGCUGGAGGCGAUUCUCUUGCAUGAGCGAGGGGUGCAGCCUGGUUCCACCCGGCCCUGAGCUCACGGAAGGGCUGGCUGCCCGCAGGGAAGGAGCUCUGCUUGAGGUCUGCUCCUGGGUGGGCUUUUGUGUGCCCUGUUCCUCAGGAAGGGGUAAGCAGUGCUGGGGUUAUUUGCUAGAUGGAGUGCGUUUGUGUUUCUUGGCUUCCUGAAAGCUGUGUCUGUCUUUUUCACUGCCGGCUGGAGAGACUCGGGGGAGAAAGCGUUGUGCUUGAUGGCACGGUUUCCUUGGGCAAAGGAUGCUUUGGCAGCAGAGGUUUGCUGUCAGGAGGCAUGAAAGCACUGAAGCCAAUGCUGCCGUGCCCUGGGCCCAGAGACAUCAGCUCCCAGCACGUCCCUGGCGGUGGAUGUGUGCAAGCUCUGUGUCUGCCGGUGGUUGCUCCAAAGGCUUUGUGGUCAGCUGUGCGUGGCUGUUUUGCUCUUGAGGGCGUGGGAACAGAGGGCAACACGCUGAUGGGAGUGAUGGUGUCCUGCUCAGCAAAGGAUGUGCUGGGUGGCAGAAGAGGAUUCUUGGCCGAGCGUGGAAAAUCUCUCUGCUCCUUCCUGAAGGACGCAAUCUUCCACUUGGAAAGGGCCUCCCAAGGAUCCCUGGAAUCCUCUGAGAGCUCUGAGCUGCCACACCAAUUUGAAGCUGACUUCAUUUUUGGUCUUCCCCUUCAGCAGAAAAGCUCAGACAGCCGAGCCAAGCGAGACGCUGGAUUUCCUUUGGCAUCAAGGAAAGCAUCGUGAGAUGUUCUGAUGCCCUCUCACAAUUCUUUCUCCCUCCGCCAGCACCAGAGCUGGCGUCCAAAGACGCAAUGACACUGCCACAGGCAUUGUGGAGAUUUCUAUGGGAUAGGGCCAUGGUAAGGCUUUAUUGACAGAGGGAGGGACAAUGAAGAUUGGAUGUCAGGGAGAAGGUCUUUCCAGAGACGGUGGUGAGAUGCUGGAAGCGGAUGCCCAGAGAGCUUGUGGACGCCGCGUCCGUGGCAGUGUUGAAGGCCAGGUUGGAUUGGGCACUCGGCAGCCUAGUCUAGGAUUAGAUAUGAUGCAGAUGGGAUUCAAGCAUCUGUUUUGCAGCCAGCUCGAGUGGAGGUCUUGGAGCUCAUGGGCGCCCCAUGCCUGCAUCAGCGUGGGUAGUGUGUGCCCUUCCUGCGCGGUGGGGCUUUGGUGUUUGGAGGCUGACGCUGAGGAGACUGUGUUUCUUCGUUUAUCGGUGGCAGAAAUCCAGCUCUGUCAGCAGAGGACUCCUGCGGCUGGCUGGCCUCAGCCUGAGAUGUUGAUGCUGCCAUCUCCUCAGGUUCUUUCUGCCUGCUCUUCUUAGCCCUGCGCCUGAGAAGUCUGACUGAGUCGCAUGCCAGAAGUGGAAGCCGGGAUGGAGUGCCUUGCGAUGCCUGCGACGGGCUGGACUGAGCCCUUGAGGAAGG